UGGGGGAUAUUGCACAAUGGGGGAAACCCUGAUGCAGCAACGCCGCGUGAGUGAAGAAGUAUUUCGGUAUGUAAAGCUCUAUCAGCAGGAAAGAAAAUGACGGUACCUGACUAAGAAGCCCCGGCUAACUACGUGCCAGCAGCCGCGGUAAUACGUAGGGGGCAAGCGUUAUCCGGAUUUACUGGGUGUAAAGGGAGCGUAGACGGUUUUGCAAGUCUGAAGUGAAAGCCCGGGGCUUAACCCCGGGACUGCUUUGGAAACUGUAGGACUAGAGUGCAGGAGAGGUAAGUGGAAUUCCUAGUGUAGCGGUGAAAUGCGUAGAUAUUAGGAGGAACACCAGUGGCGAAGGCGGCUUACUGGACUGUAACUGACGUUGAGGCUCGAAAGCGUGGGGAGCAAACA
rnacentral:rRNA from 1 species